CGUGUAGGCGGCUUUGUAAGCUUGGUGUCAAAGGCUCUGGCUCAACCAGAGAAUAGCGCUGAGAACUGCAAGGCUUGAGUUUUGGGGGGAAGCUGGAAUUCCUGGUGUAGGGGUGAAAUCUGUAGAUAUCAGGAAGAACACCGGUGGCGAAGGCGAGCUUCUAUCCAUGGACUGACGCUGAGGCGCGAAAGCGUGGGGAGCGAACA
rnacentral:rRNA from 1 species